CAAACAUUGCAGGGCUAUUCACAUCUUGGUCGUGGGUCUAACAUACCAUCAGCUAGUGCUAGUCAGUGCAAUAGUUUGAAUACUAGUAGUGGAUCAAUUGGACUUUCCAAUCUUCAUAUUGAAUCCAUUGGCUCAGAGCCUAAUACUCCUACCACCCAGCACUCAGAUGCACAUGGUCCUCAGCCAGGCGAUAGAGACAAUUUUCGGAGACUCGUCAUCGAGCCAUUAGGAUACAACUUACGUCCGGAUGUGGGUAUGGCAAAGAUUAUUUUAAAGUGCAUCGGAACUCACUAUAAUGGUGUGUAUCCGAAUUGGAGUUCGAUUCCACUUAACAACCAAGGGCAGAUGUUCAAUGAAUUUAAGAAAUAUUAUGUAUGGGCUCCCGAACACGAGGAUGACGUUCAAGUGAACUUCAAGCUUAAAGCUUCAAAGUUGCUUUCUAGCACAUUUUGUGAUUGUCAAAAAAAAAUAGAAUGCCUAAGUUUAUGUUUCCGGAGCGAUGGGCUUUGUUACUGAAACAUUGGAGUACUGAUGAAAAAUUUAAAAAGAGGAGUGAGAUUGGGAAGAUGGCUCGCGCAUCAGAAAAGGGAGGCUCUUUGCACACUGGUGGAGCUAUUAGCCAGGUUACUAGGAAGGACAGAAUGGAAAAAGAGUUGGGUAGGCCGGUAGCUGUACCAGAGAUGUUCAAGGUUACUCACGUCAAGAAGAGUACGAACCCCACAGAAGAAGAAAAAUGGAUUGAGCCACGUGCUCAAGAGA